rnacentral:rRNA from 1 species
AUGAUUGGGAGCUUGCUCUCAUGAUUAGUGGCGCACGGGUGAGUAAUGUAUAGGUUACGUGCCUCUUAGUCUGGGAUAGCCACUGGAAACGGUGAUUAAUACUGGAUAUUCCUGGUAACAGGGAAAGUUUUUCGCUAAGAGAUCGGCCUAUAUUGUAUCAGCUAGUUGGUGAGGUAAUGGCUCACCAAGGCGAUGACACAUAGCGGGUUUGAGAGGAUGAUCCGCCACACUGGUACUGAGACACGGACCGGACUCC